ensembl:lncRNA
CUUUUGUGUUCAUCCAUAGCAAAAUUUGAUGCAUGAAUAGCACCUCUGAUAAUGACCAGAACACAUUUAUGCACUGUUCUACAAAAGCCUAUUUGACUGUAUCUACUGAUAACUAAAAGCAGGUUAUUCACUACUGCGUCUUUCCCAAAGUACAAAAAAAAUUCAAAUGCUUUAUAAUUUAUUUCCUAAUUAUUUGUCAAUUUCUUGUUUUCCAGGGUGCCUUUUCUCUUGGUUAGAGGGAAUAUGAAGGGCAAAAAGAUUUCCAAAGAAGGAGGGUCUGGUAAUUCUCAACAGUGCAAAUUAGUUCUCAGCAUCUUCAAGAUGGAAAAAACACAGCUUUGUUCUUGUUCUGAUGGUGCUAACAGAAUACUUGCAAGCUACCUAUAUAAAAUGCCACAGAAUAUGCAAUGUGUCAAAAUACAUCUGGGUUUGUUAGCAUCAGCAAGGAAAGAAAACCUGUAAUAAACCAUCAAACGAGACCUGUAUCAUAAAACACCAAAUAUUCAUUUAUAGAGUAAAGUACACAGUAAGAUUUCCCAGAGCAAGAUUAAAUUAAAAUAGGAGCUUGGAUAUGGAAAGGCUGUUACCAUCCACAGUCGGGCUGAAGUAGGACAUCAUUAUGGAUGUUCAUUGACAGUAAGACCUAAAAAUCACUCCCACACUUACAUUUUUAAAUCAAUUAUCAUUCUGAUGGGACUUUCAGAGCACUUAACAGCUGCCAUCAUGUCUUUUCUGAGUGCCAGAUACUAAGAAGCAUUUUUGGGGAUUCAGCUUUCGUUGUAUUUAGAAUCCCUGCGCAGCCAAGUUCUGACAUAAGCAUAUGCCUCAGAUGAUCACAUAACCACCAAGGCUGAGAGCACCUCUGAAGACCAUCUGGUCCAACCUUUCUUCUCAAAGCAGUCACCCAGAACAGGCUGGAAUAUCCCCAACUCCACCACCCCUUUGGCCAACCCCAUGGCCGAUGCUCCAGGCCCUGAAUCACCUUUACAGUCCUUCCCUGUACCCAGCCCAGUAUGUCCAUGUCCUUCCUGUGCAGAGCCCAGAACUGGAUGCAGCACUCCUGCUGAGGUCUCACUGGCACUGGGUAAAUGGGAACAACCUCCUCCCUUGCCCAACUGGUAAUGCUUUUCCUAACGCAGUCCAGAAUGCUGUUGGUCCUUUUCCAAUAUAUACUUUUAUAUCUAUAAAAGAAUUUCAAGCAUACAGUUUUACAAUUCCAGGACCUGUUAUAAACCAGGGAAGUAAAAACUGUAUUAUUCUG